rnacentral:rRNA from 1 species
GAUGAACGCUGGCGGCGUGCCUAAUACAUGCAAGUCGAGCGAACAGACGAGGUGCUUGCUCCUCUGACGUUAGCGGCGGACGGGUGAGUAACACGUGGAUAACCUACCUAUAAGACUGGGAUAACUUUGGGAAACCGGAGCUAAUACCGGAUAAUAUAUUGAACCGCAUGGUUCAAUAGUGAAAGACGGUUUUGCUGUCACUUAUAGAUGGAUCCGCGCCGCAUUAGCUAGUUGGUAAGGUAACGGCUUACCAAGGCAACGAUGCGUAGCCGACCUGAGAGGGUGAUCGGCCACACUGGAACUGAGACACGGUCCAGACUCCUACGGGAGGCAGCAGUAGGGAAUCUUCCGCAAUGGGCGAAAGCCUGACGGAGCAACGCCGCGUGAGUGAUGAAGGUCUUCGGAUCGUAAAACUCUGUUAUUAGGGAAGAACAAAUGUGUAAGUAACUAUGCACGUCUUGACGGUACCUAAUCAGAAAGCCACGGCUAACUACGUG